rnacentral:tRNA from 1 species
GCGAGAGUGGCGGAACUGGCAGACGCGCAGGAUUUAGGUUCCUGUGAGGCGACUCGUGGGGGUUCAAGUCCCCCCUCUCGCA